GACCCCUCAGGAUGGCACCUGGAGAGUUUCCAGUACUCUACCAGCCUCAGCUACAGAAGGAAGAGUCAAACAGGCAUACCCAUUCCAUUCCUACCAUGAGCAGUGGCUAGGGAGUGGAAGGCAAUCUGCUACAAGU